CUGUAAUUGAAUUAGAGCUGACGGAGAAAAGCUGUGGCUCUGAGCUCUGUGGAGCUGGAGGGAUCCACAGCCUUGAGCCAGGUGGAGGGGAUUUGGGGAGCACAGCUGAGGCUCUUAAAGGAGGAGAGAAGGGGGGAGAAUAUGGAGCUGCUUGGCAGAGAGAGAGUGAUAUAUAGCUCCAGGAUCAGAGGACAGGAAACUGCAGCAUUGGCAUGGCCAAUGGUGUUGGCCUGGCUAAAUGGGAGUGCAACAGGCAGCAGCCAAGGAUUACAGCAACUGCCCAGUACUACAGCAUCAGUGCUAAGGAAGGGGGUGUAUCCUGUCUCUGAUGGUGAAAAGCUUUCUGUUGGACAAUUUCUUUUCCUGAGCAUGCCCUCAAGCUCUACGUAAGGACACCUGCUGAUGUUUUGUACACCUCCAGGCACCAACGUGAAGCACUUCUUGGAUGGCAUCUCCACAAGAUCUGCUUUGCACCCAUCCUGCAGCCACUCAAGCUCAUGUGAUCACACGGUCUCACUUGCUGGUUCCCCUCUGUAGCCCUGCUUGCUCUCACUGUCGACAUGUAAGGAGUGGUAGAAGACGUGCCAUGGGCAUGCUGUUCCCAUAGGCAGGUUAUAUUUCAGGUGUAUUGAGUUUUCUGCGUGCUGGUUAGAAUAUACAAGCCUUUAAUGCAUAUUAUGUGCCAGCACCUAAUUAAGCAUUCAGCAACAGGGCUUUCCUGUUCAAUUUUUCAACGUUGUGUCUUUGGUUACAAUACAGGAAGGUUUAAAAUGCUGAUGAGUGAUUACCCCCUUCCUUCUCGUUGUCUUCCUACUGCCAGCAACUGGCAAAGCUCUACCAUCAGUUUUCAUGCUUUUGAUACUUAAAUGGACAAAUCAGCCGUGCUUUCUCUACUGAACCAGGUCAAACCCUGUUCCUCCUCCUAGAGAGGAUGCUUUGCAGUGGUGGUCAGCCCACUGCAUGGCCCUGUCUGGUGCCCCAAAUGGGGAUGAAGCACUUUUGGGGGUGGAAUUUGGGUAUGUGGUGGGCAGGUCUGAACCUCUGCCCAGUAGUAAUCCAGAUUCAUUUUAGCAAGUUUGGGUCUGAGUCUACUCCCAUAUAUUUUGGUGGGAGAUAAUAGUUAAACAAUUGCUGCUGUCACCACCUUAUCCUAUGGUAUAACUGUUAAAAUAAAUCUGCCACUCCUCUGCUUCCUGUACUCCCAAUAGCCCAGGCUGAGUUGCUACCAGGAGAAACAGAGCUGGUUCUGUGGUCUUUCUCAGUAGCCCUGAUUAGAGAUAUUUGGUCAAAGCUGACUGUGCCUCCUCUCUGUGUGCUGAAAUCCACCCCCAGUAACUCACACACACAUCAUGUCAAAGUUGUGAGGGAAAUCUGCUGCUGGGAGAUGCCAAAAUGCAAACAAAGCCCCUAAGUUUCAUCAUUGGCAGCAAGUAAAUGCAGGUGAUUUGCACUGCAUAGCAUCGGGAUUAUAGCAUUAAAAUGCAGAAUGUUAAGAUCCCUUCCCC
ensembl:lncRNA